GGCCUCAUAGUUCAAUGGAUAGAAUACGAGUUUCCUAAACUUUAGAUCCAGGUUCGAUUCCUGGUGGGGCUACAA
rnacentral:tRNA from 1 species